AUUGAACGCUGGCGGCAUGCCUUACACAUGCAAGUCGAACGGAAACAGGUCUUCGGAUGCUGACGAGUGGCGAACGGGUGAGUAAUACAUCGGAACGUGCCUAGUAGUGGGGGAUAACUACUCGAAAGAGUGGCUAAUACCGCAUGAGAUCUACGGAUGAAAGCAGGGGAUCGCAAGACCUUGUGCUACUAGAGCGGCCGAUGGCAGAUUAGGUAGUUGGUGGGAUAAAAGCUUACCAAGCCGACGAUCUGUAGCUGGUCUGAGAGGACGAUCAGCCACACUGGGACUGAGACACGGCCCAGACUCCUACGGGAGGCAGCAGUGGGGAAUUUUGGACGAUGGGCGCAAGCCUGAUCCAGCAAUGCCGCGUGCAGGAUGAAGGCCUUCGGGUUGUAAACUGCUUUUGUACGGAACGAAAAGCCCUGGGUUAAUACCCUGGGGUCAUGACGGUACCGUAAGAAUAAGCACCGGCUAACUACGUGCCAGCCGCCGCGGUAAAAC
rnacentral:rRNA from 1 species